GGAGACAGCCUGUCAAAACUACCUGCGUGUAUGGAGGAACAUGUAGCAGCUUCUAAUUUUAAGCUAAUCAGAAUUGAAAAGAGUUUCCACUCUAUGCCUAGAGUUCUUUAGACGAAACUACAUACACUCCACAGCGAUCCAUGACUGCAGUGUUGGUUGGUCCUUUAGACGGUUAUUUUUGGGUCGUCCUUAUAUCAUUAAUUUAGAUGAUGUUACGAAAGCCGACAAUAAAACGAUUACAAGUGUCAUUGUAAAAAGUAUCAGAAACGUUCUUGGCUUCAAUUUUAGAGGCGAAAGAUUGAAGGUUUUUAUUACCGAUGAAUUAUCAUAUUGAAUUAAAGCAGCCGAUAAGCCGAAGUGUGUCAAGCUCUGAAGAGAAAAAUUGAGACUCAUUGUACAAGCCUACACUGGACAUGACACUUUUCUAGCCCACCUAAGCAAGUGGAAAGACAUAAGCUCAACGUGCAAUGUCUGUAUGGAAGAACUGUAAAGUUCAAUAGAUGCCCGCCCUAUCUUAUGAGAGACAUCAAGCAAUUAAUGAAGAAAACGAAGACUGUCGUAUUUUAAAAUUUAUGAAAUACGUGAACUUCCGUCUGACGGAACUUUUUUGGUACCUUUAUGUCCGACAUGCCACUGAAAACCCUUUCUGAAUCAAAGUUAACAACAGGAGUGUUUUUAUAUUUAUAAAACUCGGUAUCCUGAUUAAUGGUUUCAGGUGGCCAUUCUCUCAAUUUGAUGUAUCCCUAUUCUUUUUCUAUUCCCUCCUGACAUUUAUUUUUGGAAUGCUCAAGAUAAAUAUAUUGGCAUAGAUUUUCAACGAUAGGUACACUUGGGAGUAGUAGCCAUCUCAAUUUCAAGGAUUUAAUGGUUACCUGGAUUGAAUUCAAAUUUUGUUGAAUAAACAUCAUUUCUGACAAAAGUGGAUCAUUCUUCAAAUAUCUUUUUCUUUUAGAUUGCAUAUUUACUUUCAUCCAUAAUAUUAAUAUACUCUUUGACUGAAUUGAUGUGGUUGGCGUAAUAGUCAAUUGUUUUGUAUCACCUGAAUUAUAAAAAAAAAAAAUAUUCACUUCAGAGAUGAUAGUGCUUGUAUUAUAGAAGUAAAAUUUAUAUUCUGUUCAGACUAUAAGCAUAAUAACUGAUAUGCAACAUAAUUGGAAAAUGUUGUUUAAGGUUUUUGGCUGCUUCAAUGCAAUACCCUGCUUCAUUGGUAAUGAAAACCCUCACUAUUUUGUCUCUGAAAUCGAAGGCAAGAACGUUGUUCAACUUAUUGUAGCAACACAUGUAAUCAUUCAACCUUUCAAAUUAAUGAGAUAAAGACGACUAAAAAAAUGAACAUAAUAAGGAACAACCACCACUGGAGUCAUGGAUCGCCGUCGAGUCAGUAGUUUCUUCUAAUUCUAUAAAUAUAUCAUUAUCCUCAAAUGUUUAAUGGAUCUUGGAUAACACUUCUUUACUUCAAGACUCCAUUUACUUCGUAAUGGAGAAGCGAGUGUAAAUAACUAUUCCACUGCAAAUUCUGUGAACGUAACAAAAUUUGGAAAUUCUCAAAAUGGCAUGGAAUAUCGUAGGAUACGAGUAUCUUAGUUAUAUAACUAGUAAAAUUGGAAAUGUCAUAUUUUGAUUAUUUAUGCGCCUAUUCAUGUAAUUCUAGAAACAUGGAAGACUCGUGCUUUUUUUGUUCUUCCACUUUGAGGGUUAAAUUUUCCUUCUUCUCUUUUACAGAAUUGAAGUAGACAGACUAUUAUUCUUCUUCUCCUACUGUCUACUUGUUUCCCUCUGUUUAUUGUUAAUUAUCAGUGAUGUGUGUGUGUCUUUAAACCUGAGGAUCCUUGUUCUCCAGGACCACUGGCUUCUAUGUUGUUCUAGAGGACAUUACAUUAUAGAAAAUGAUUAUUAUUCGAUACCAAAGGGGCUCUGUAGCCGUUUCCUUGGUUGACAGUCGAACUCUCACAGCUCAAACGAGCCACUUCGUUUAAUGGACGGAGUCGAACUCUCAAAGAGCAAGUAACGAACUAACGUUAGGAGGAGAAUAGGAUUUUAUCCCAUGGGCUUUCUGUAAACGCUUCGUUGGAUGGAUGGAGUCUAACUAUCACAAAACAUCAAUCCAACAGACGUGAGUCCACCGAAGGAGGCUUAGAGUCGAUCCCUGAAAAAAUCGGGAUCCCAUCCCACGACCAUUAGUUGCUUCCUUGUUGGAAGGACUUGGUCAGGAUUCCACGAAUGAAGCAUCAAACCUACUUGAGACCCAUAGAAUGCUGAGAUCCCAUACCCACGACUAUCUGUUGCCACUUCUGGGAAGGACGGGAUACUCUUUAUACACGCUUUUGUUGGAAUGUAUAUCAAUUAACCACGUAUAGCUCGUAAAUAAUGUAUAAACAUUUUUUGUUGAUCUGAGAGAAAUUUAUUAAAUAUAAGAAGAUAAAUUAUUA
rnacentral:lncRNA from 1 species